ensembl:lncRNA
CCCCGGGGAGGACCCGCCCGCCGCUGAGCCCCAGAGGGCAGACCGAGCGGCGGACCCUCCGGCCCAGGAGAGAGGGGAGGACGCGGGGGAGGGCUCUCCGGUUCAAAAAGAAUCAGACGAUCCUGUCCCACUGCCUGGUCCCUGUGACAUACAGCCCGGCGCUGUCGACCCGGGACAUCCUACAGAGAGCCCCCGUCUGUCAGAGAAGCCGCACCCAGACGACGGCAAGGAUACCAAGUCCUCCACGAAGAAGAAGAAGAGGACGUCGUCCAAGUCGCCGCAGAAGAAGAAGGAGGCCAAGAAGAGCAGCAGGCGGAGGUCCAGGUCCAACUCCCGCGCCCGCCGGAGGAGCUCGCGCUCGGUGAGCCGCAGCAAGAGGAAGAGGUCCGGGUCCCGGAAGAAGAGGUCCGUGUCGAGGAAGAAGAGGUCCGUGUCGAGGAAGAAGAGGUCCGGGUCCAGGAGGAAGAAGAGG